AUUUAGGGAAGCAAUACUUUAAUGAGAGUGGCGCACGGGUGCGUAACACGUAUGCAACCUACCUUUAACUGGAAGAUAGCCCCGGGAAAUCGGGAUUAAUAUUUCAUAACAAUGCGCGAUGGCAUCAUCAUGCAUUUAAAGCUCCGGCGGUUAAAGAUGGGCAUGCGGGACAUUAGCUUGUUGGUGAGGUAACGGCUCACCAAGGCUAUGAUGUCUAGGGGUCCUGAGAGGGUUAUCCCCCACACUGGUACUGAGACACGGACCAGACUCCUACGGGAGGCAGCAGUAAGGAAUAUUGGUCAAUGGGCGCAAGCCUGAACCAGCCAUACCGCGUGCAGGAAGACGGCCCUAUGGGUUGUAAACUGCUUUUGUCAGGGAAUAAACCCCCGUACGUGUACGGGGCUGAAGGUACCUGAAGAAUAAGCAUCGGCUAACUCCGUGCCAGCAGCCGCGGUAAUACGGAGGAUGCAAGCGUUAUCCGGAUUCAUUGGGUUUAAAGGGUGCGCAGGCGGAUUGGUAAGUCAGGGGUGAAAUCCCACAGCUCAACUGUGGAACUGCCUUUGAUACUGUCAGUCUUGAGUAUAGUUGAAGUGGGCGGAAUGUGUCAUGUAGCGGUGAAAUGCUUAGAUAUGACACAGAACACCGAUCGCGAAGGCAGCUCGCUAAACUAUAACUGACGCUCAUGCACGAAAGCGUGGGGAUCAAACAGGAUUAGAUACCCUGGUAGUCCACGCCGUAAACGAUGAUUACUCGAUGUUGGCG
rnacentral:rRNA from 1 species